UCUAUUCUUGUGACUAUGUUGGAAUUGAGGUUUUCCUAAGGAAACCUUAUGUGGAAUUGAGGAUUUCCUAAGGAAACCUUAUGUUUUCGAAAUUUAUCGUAUUAGAUACCUCACCUGUAGAGUAGUAGCAGAGUAGACUUUUAGGCUUAAAAUUGCUUCUGCACUACUUAGUUUCCACUUGACCAAUUUUAAGUCUCUAUUGACUUAAAUAUAUAGAUAAAAGAAAGGAAAUACUUGUUGCUGGAGAGCAUUUACUGAAUCUCUGAGUGAUUUCUUGGUUUGGCGCCAAAGCCACCCUGGGCCUAAAUCAUAAAGGGCCUGUCGCAUAUGGGCCCAGAAUGGAAGUAAAGACCUGCCUUAUUUUAAAUACAUACCUAGUGGCAGAAGGGAUGGCAGAGGAUUAAGGAAUGUAGUUAAUAACAACUAUACAUAUACUUAUCAAUAAGUUUAUAUAGAUUUACUUUGCUGAAUCUGUAUAAAUAAUAACUUAUUGAGAGGUGCAUGUAUAUAUUUAUUAAGUUGAUAUUUGUAUAUAAUCUUAUUGUAUAUUAGUUUUUGUAUAUAGUUGAGUUUGAUUUUUGUAUGAAAAAUUUGUGUUUUUUAUAUAAAUACAAUUUAUUAUUACAAAAAAAUAUUUGACUUUUGAGUUUUAACCCACCCUACCCAAGGUGUGAGGGGUGUAGAGUUUCUGAAUAAUACCCUCUUGCACCCUUUUCACACAUUUAUUCCUUAAUCCUUUUUUUCUUUUGAAUCAAAAGAAUUUAGCAUCAAAAGUUUUAAUGUUAAGUUGCAUGCAUUUAGAUAUGAAGGUACAAAGUAAUAAUCUUGAUAUUGGGUCAGAUGGUGCGCCCUUAGCCAAAAGGACUUCUAGCUUAUCAACUUAAAGUAUCCAAAUCAUAUUUGAUGUUACCCUGUUAGAAUAUAUUUAAAAAUAAAUAAAUAAAUAUUAUAAAUUUUGAUUAAAUAAUAUUUUCUUUUAAAAAAUCUACAUUUUUCAAUAAAAUAAAGGAUUUUGUAGACACCCCUCAGCACUCUUUGUACAUCCUUUGUAUAAACAUAUUGCCCUUUGUUAAACCUAUCUUUUGAUACCAAGUUGUAUUUAUUUCGAUAAGAAUUGACCGAGACAUUUUAAGUUAAAAAAUAUUUUAUCUUAAUACUUAAUAUUUGAUUGCUGUUUCUUCAUGAAAUCCAUAUAUCUAAAAUUUGGUUCUCAAGAUGCCAUGACUUUUUCUAGGGUUGUUU